CGUAGGGGGCGAGCGUUGCCCGGAUUCACUGGGCGUAAAGCGCGUGUAGGCGGUCUGUUAAGUCGGGUGUGAAAUCUCCGGGCCCAACCCGGAAAUUGCAUCCGAUACUGGCAGACUUGAGGACGGUAGAGGUUGGUGGAAUAGCCGGUGUACCGGUGAAAUGGGCAGAUAUCGGCUAGAACACCAGUGGCGAAGGCGGCCAACUGGGCCGUUCCUGACGCUGAGACGCGAAAGCCAGGGGAGCGAACCGGAUUAGAUACCCGGGUAGUCCUGGCCGUAAACGGUGCGGACUAGGUGUGGGGGGCGUCAAGCCUUCUGUGCCGAAGCUAACGCAUUAAGUCCGCCGCCUGGGGAGUACGGCCGCAAGGCUA
rnacentral:rRNA from 1 species